rnacentral:pre_miRNA from 1 species
AGUGGAAUUGCUAAGUCAUAUGGCACAUGUAUGUUUAACUUUUUAAGAAAUUGCUGGAAAAUUUUUCAAAGUGAUUGUCCCAUUUAAUAUUCCUAGUAGCAGA